AUUUGGAUUAAGAGAAUAUCCUAGUGCACAUGAUAAACACCAUGCGUGAAGCUGUACUGUAGUUUAACAGCUGUUGUAUCUCUUCGGCACGAUGCGCUGGAUUUUCAAAACAAUAAAAUAAAUAAUUUCUGCUGAACUAAAACUCCAGAAAUGGCGCAGGGUUCUGAUUCUCAGUUCAACUCUGACUUAGAGCUUGCUCUUGCCAACAGUUUACACACUUACAAGCAGGAACAAGCAUGUGUCACUCCGGAGAAAGCUAUCAGGGAAA